rnacentral:tRNA from 1 species
GGCCUCGUAGCUCAGAUGCUUAGUGUGUUGGCUGACCUAUGCCUUGUCCUUGUUUUCGUGGGUUCAAAUCCCACCAAGGCCA